CCUUCUUCCUCUCUUUUAUUUAUUUAUUGUUUUCUUAUUUUUCUUCCUUUUCUUCCUCUUUUCUCGCACCAGACCCAACCUUCUUCCAAUUGUCUUCUCUUCGCUAUCUUCCCUUUCUCUAGCAGACUCAAAAUUGAGUGAGAGAGUGAGAUCAGGUGGAAAACAUCUGCCUCCAGCCGCCGAAAAAAGGGCCCAAGUCGAUUUCGACCCCGUCUUCGAAGAAGCCCAUCAACCAGUGCUAGAAGGGACCUCUUUGUGCGGGUUUUCCUCUAAAAUUCUCAAUUUUGCUCCCUUUCUUGGUGUAUUCAAAGUCACCCGUUGGGAUUUUAGCAAGGUAUGCCCUUUCUCUGGCUUUCUCUUGAAUUUAUCGAGGAAUUUGUUAGGUUCCUUUCAUCCAUGAAUGUUGCCCUUUGUUUUGGUAGUCAAGCAAAGUCUAUAAAGAGCUUCUUCUUCAAACAAAACAAAACCAUCUCAAAGUUCAAACAAAGUCUAUAUCCUAAAUAUAUAUAUAUAUAUAUAUAUUUUUUUAAUGCUAGUAGAGAGCUUCUUCUUCAAUUCUAUUAUAUCUCUGCUUUAGUUUCUUGGUGAUCUGCUUUUUUAUGGCUCUACUUACUUUUGUACCAACCCCAUCCAAUCCAAUUCAGCUUUGACCUGAACUCCACCCCACAAAUUUCUAGACUGCAUCAGGUCUAGUUAUGAUGUUCUUUUACAAAUCAACAACCCAAAUUUGCAAACCCCCAAAUUUCUAAAACGUACCCACUCUGAGAUCGUAUGGCCUAUGCCAUUAUCGAACAAUGGUUCCUACCACUUUGAGAUCGUACAACAUGGAUCUAGUUGGAAUAAAUCUGGAUCACCAAGAAGACCUGCGAUUUCAAGAUCUUGUCUGCUAGCCAUGGUGGUUUUCUUUCUUUCUUCUAUUUCUUCUUUGCUUUCUCUGUAAAUUCUCUGAGUUCUCUAUCAUUAUUAAUGGUGGCGAGGCGGCGGUAUUGAGUUUGGUUUGACUGGGGAUGUCGAGGUGGGGGGGCUUGUUGCGUCUUGGGUAUUUGGCCGUGAGGUGUUGCUGUGGAAGAGAGAAAGGUAUGGUGGUGGGGUAGAAAGAGGGGCGACGAGCAUGGCAUGAAUCAUGAUAAAAUGGGAGAAGAUAGAGAAGGAGGGUGGCGAUGGGAUGAAGGAGAGAGAAACUUUUAUUCUUUUAAUUAAUUAAGAGAGCUGAUUUUCCCACUCAUAUUUUAUUCACUUACACUUUCUUUAUUAGAAAUUGUAUGUUCCCACUCAUAUUGGAUCCACUUAUACUCCAUUUUUUGUUCUAGUAAAAACUAUUAAAAACAAAAGAAAGUGUAAGUGGACAAAAAGAAAGUGGGAAAAUCACCACCCUUAAGAGCAAGUGCAGUGCUAGGGCCUUGCCCUAGAAACAGGCCACCCCAGGCCCAAGUUCCACCUUCAGCGCUAAUCGACCAGCCCACAUAGCCCAACAGCUACAAGCCACGCGACAUCUCCUGAAGCCUCCAAUCAAAAAAUCUUGCUCAAUCCAACGGCUGUCUAAUUUUUAGCUAAAAAAUAUCUUUAAAAAUUUUAAAAAUUAUCAAAAAAUUAUGGAAAUUUUUUUCUAUAAAUACCUACCAAUAUUAUUCACUUUUCACAACAAAUCUUCAUAUAAAUUCAUCUCCUUCCAAUAUUUUUCACUUUCCGCACUAAAUUUUCUACUACAAAAUUUCAUUUGUGCAAAAAUAGAAAUGGCCUCUUCCAUCGAAGUAGGAGGGUCGUGGACAAACGUUUGAAGAGGUCAAAAUCUUGGCGAUGAGGCAACAAAAAAAAAAAAUAAUUUCCUUUUUAUUCAAUUUAAUGUCAUUUAUAUAUAUAUAUAUAUAUAUCUCUUGCAUUUCCAAUUUCAUUUUAAUAGAUUAUUCAAGGCAAAAUAAAAAAGAGGAAAACCAUUUACACAUGGUUCUUCAAGUGAACAAUAGCCAUAAUCAGUUCCAGUGGUGCGUUUCGUGUCGAAAAUAAUGACACUAUUACGUCCUCCGAAGGAAAACACUCCCUCCAUGUCGUGAUCCGGUGGAACUCACCAUCAAGUGCUUCUCUUAUUAUUUUAGUUCUAUUCUAUUGCUUUGUAUUUGAUAUUCAAUUUUGCAUCUCCUUAUGUCCACCUAAAAAAACACUUUCAAAAGUGUACAAAUCUGUUUUAUAUUAUGAUUUGUGUGGGACAAACAUUUCUAAUUCAUUAUGAUUGUCUUAUUAUAAUCACAAAAGUGGGCUGGAAUAAAAGGAAAGACAAUAAAGAAAAAUUAAUAUGACUUUGAUUGAUCAGAUGACAUAUCCACC
rnacentral:lncRNA from 1 species